UACGUAGGGACCGAGCGUUGUCCGGAUUCAUUGGGCGUAAAGAGCUCGUAGGCGGCUGCUCAAGUCGAAUGUGAAAACUCGAGGCUCAACCUCGAGCCUGCAUUCGAUACUGGGCGGCUAGAGUCUGGUAGGGGGAUCUGGAAUUCCUGGUGUAGCGGUGGAAUGCGCAGAUAUCAGGAGGAACACCGAUAGCGAAGGCAGCUCGCUGGGACGGUACUGACGCUGAGGCGCGAAAGCGUGGGGAGCGAACAGG
rnacentral:rRNA from 1 species